rnacentral:rRNA from 1 species
UACGGGGGGAGCAAGCGUUGUUCGGAUUUACUGGGCGUAAAGGGCGCGUAGGCGGCCACCGCAAGUCGACUGUGAAAUCUCCGGGCUUAACCCGGAAAGGUCAGCCGAUACUGCGGGGCUAGAGUGCAGAAGGGGCAACUGGAAUUCCUGGUGUAGCGGUGGAAUGCGCAGAUAUCAGGAGGAACACCGGUGGCGAAGGCGGAUCUCUGGGCCUUACCUGACGCUCAGGCACGAAAGCUAGGGGAGCGAACAGG